AUGCCAACAAAUAUAGAAAAACAACAAGCACGUCAUAUAUAUCCAUCCUGCUUCCAAGUUUUAGCUCCACACCUAGUAUCUUUACAAACAGAACCUACCCUUCAUAAUGCUUGGCAACUAAUUUCCUGCAUUAAUGUUGAAUAUCAUCAUCCAUUUUACAAAUUUCUUCAAACCAGAAGUAACUCUUGCUCUAUUAUCCAGUGUUGA